ensembl:snRNA U4 U4 spliceosomal RNA
AGCUUUACGCACUGGCAGUAUAGUAGCCAAUGAGGUUUAUCCAAGGCACGAUCAUUGCUAAUUGAAAAGAACUUUUCACUCUCUCCGUGGGUCCUUUCUGACCCAACACAUCUGCAUUUGCCAAAGGGCA